GGGUAGCCAAAUAAGGGCGUAUGGCGGAUGCCUUGACUUCUAAAGGCGAUGAAGGACGUGGCGUGGCUGCGAUAAGCCUCGGGGAGGUGCCUAGCAACCUUUGAACCGGGGAUGUCCGAAUGAGGAAACUUUGUCGCGUAAAACGCGAUAACUCCGACGUUACGUCGGAGAGCGCACCCGGGGAAUUGAAACAUCUUAGUACCCGGAGGAAAAGAAAACAAUUCUCCGCUUUUAGCGGAGGAAGAUUCCCUUAGUAGCGGCGAGCGAAAAGGGAAGAGCCCAAACCAAGCGAUGAAUUUAAAACUUAUUGCUUGGGGUUGUAAGAUGAUAACGUUUUGGGGCAACCUGAAAGGAGUCUUAAAAAAUAAAACUUCGUUAGCAGAAUCCCGCUGGAAAGCGGGAACCAAAGAAGGUAAUAGUCCUGUAAGCGAAAACGGUUUUAUGCUCCUAGUUAUUAAUCUUGAGUAUCUCGACACACGAAUAGGUCGGGAGAAGCAGGGAGAACUAACUCCCAAGGCUAAAUACUUUAGAAGAUCGAUAGCGGACAAGUACCGCGAGGGAAAGGUGAAAAGUAGCCCGGUGAGGGCGGUGAAAUAGUACCUGAAACCAUAUGCCUACAAAGAAUCGGAACCCUGACGCGCGCAAGCGCUGUCGGGGCGACGGUGUGCCUAUUGAAGAAUGAGCCAACGAGUUAAUGUGUGUUGCUCAACUAAUCCCGUAUAGCGGGAGGAGUUCUAGGGAAACCGAGUGUGAAUAGCGCGAUCCGCCUUUUGGCGGAGGUAGCACGCAUUAGACCCGAAACCAGGUGAGCUUGCCAUGACCAGGGUGAACUUUGGCGAAAGCCAAGGGAAGGCCCGAACCGGUUAGCCGUGCAAGACUAUCGGAUGAGUUGUGGUAAGGAGUGAAAAGCUAAUCGAACCUGGUAAUAACUGGUUCUCUCCGAAAUAGUUUUAGGACUAGCGCCCUAAUUAUCUUUUGGGGGUAGAGUUACUGGAAGGUUUGAAUAGGGAGAAAUCUCGUCAAAUCUACCAAACUCCGAAUACCAAAAGCCAUUUUAGGGCAGUCAGACCAUGGGGGCGAAGCUCCAUCGGUCGAGAGGGGGAC
rnacentral:rRNA from 1 species